GCUGCCAGCUUCUCAUGACUGCCUUCUCACCGCUGCUAUUGCCACUUUCCACUGUCGGUGACCCUUUAUCCCCCUCUGUUAUUGUUAAUAGUUCUUUUCUCCCCCUCUAACUACUAUUAACAGUAGAUUUUUAAUUUAAUAUCAUAUUUUUAUUCAAAUAAUCAUAUUUAUCAAUUAUGUUAUAUAUUUUUAUAUUUUUAUAUUUCAAAGCGCUUCACUUUGUUCGGGCUUUUGCCUAGUGCCUCGGCCGUUUUGGGGCCUUGACACCUUUUGGCGCUUAGCGCUUUUUAAAUCACUAGUUAUAAGUCAUCUCUUAUUGAUACUUAGAGCUGCUUUGGUAGGCAGCUUUUGGUUGAUAAAUAAAAAAAAAGAUUGCCAUGUUGGAACAUACCUUUUGAAACGAUCUAAGCAAAAUACCAUGGCACCUUCAUUUUUAUUUUAGGUAAUGGGCACAAUGUGGCACCUGGUUAUGUAGGCUUGUUGAAAAAGAAAUGGCCAAUAUGUAAAAUCAUUUGUAUCUGAUAAUACACUAUUAUAAAUAGGUAAAAUGACAUAAAUUCUCAAGUAUUCCAAUUAAUGGGCAUCAAUUAAUAACAUGUCAGUCAAUCAUAGUUCACAUAUAAGCUUGUCAACUUUUGUCUCCAAAAGUAUGUCUUUGGACUUUGGAGCAAUGUUAUCAGCCAUCUGUUUCUUACUACGGUAUCCAACAAUUGCAUUGUUCUAUGGCAUACAAAUGAUCUAAGUAACCAGAAAUAUUGGAAUAUUUAGCAAUUGCAUCGUUGUGUGACGUAUAAUGAUCUAAUAGUUUGUAACUAGAAACAUUGGAACUUGCCGUUACAAGAAUUAUUUAUUAUGCAAACAAAUUAUGUGAACAUUGACCAAACUAACUUGAUCACAACCAUAAUAUAUAAAACCUAAACAGGACCUACCAAGUAUCAUCAAGAAACUAUCCUUCAUUUCUGAAUGAAGCAGGCUUGCAGUUGCUGAGAAAGGCAAGCUAGAGAUGAUAUCAGUGUUGCUGUUGGAGAGUUUCAUCUGACCUAUCUUGCCGCCCUUGGAGUGGAGCAAGAGAAGCUCCCAUAGGAACCUUUACAGCAGGAGAUUUUUUGAGCUCCUAUACAAAUCUUUGUUUCUUUCUUUCCUUUUCCUUUUUUUUCAUUCACAACUGUCUGUUGUACUUUUUUCAAUCUCUUAAUCGAAUGAUUUAGCAGUUGCUUUGCCCAUAAAGGAAUGUUAUGCUAUAUGUUGAUCCUUAUACAAGAUCUAAAACAAGGUUUUACCUUAUGUUCAAGUCGCAUGUUUAUGCCUUUCCACAGACUGGUAGUUGUGGCUUUCUGUCUGGGGAUUUUGACAUUUGUAUGAAUGAGUUAUUUUUGUAAUAUCAUUAACUUUCACCUAGUCUCACAUAUUACUGAAAAGUUUAUCUUCUUGUAUUUGUGCCUAUUUAUCAAUAUUAUAUUUUGUUGCAUAUAUAUCUAUACUAUAUUUUGUUGCUUCUUAUGCUUGGUAACAUCCAAAUGUCAUACCUCUUUGUUGUCUAGGUUGAUCUUGUUGUACCAUUUCUUGCAAUGCAUUUCUCACCGAAAAUAUUCAGUGCUCUACUUAGAGCACAGGAUGUGUUGUCAGAACAAAAAUCUCAAGUAUUUACAGAGGGCAUUUCGUAUGUAAAUGAUAUCAGUGUACACAAUUGGCCUUCCCUCCAAUUUUCUGUGUCUGCCAUGUUGGACAAUUGGAAAUUCAAUGUCGACCUUGAAGAUGAUGCAGAAAACAGUGCAAUUAUUUCCUUUACUUUCGAGAACCUAUUCUCUAGGUUGGUCAUUUAAUAUUUGUGUAUUUCUAUUUUUUUUUGUCCAAUCUACAGAAUUUCCUUCUCAAUUGCAGGUGUGCUCUGGAGGACUCUAUGAAGUUUUGGUUCCUCACAAAGAUGUUGACAAUAGAUUACUGUUGUUUCAAGGAUGGCCCAAAUUGUAGUACAUUAUGCUCAACAAGAAAUGAAAUAGGUGGCACAAUCAACACGAGUGCUGACCAUGUUGAUCUCAGCAUAUCAGAACUGCCUUCCUGUGAAAGUCCGAGGCAUGGUUGCUUCGAGUUGCAUUACCAAGCUCAAGCAUCUCAGCAGGAAUGCAGUCUCUGCUUAUGCGAUGUCGAUCUCCAUAUCUAUCCUAGAAUUUUUGGUUUGUUGCAGAAGUUUUUCAGCAAACUUAAAGCGCAAUUUUCUUCAUCUGACACUUCUGUCAAGUCCUUCAGAUUGAUUGAUAGUAACAUGGAAAUGAUUGACAAUGGGACUUCUAAGUUUGGUUUCUCCAACUAUCACAAUAUUGAGCAUAAUAUAUUUGGCAAAAUUGAUAUAGACCGAUUUGUUCCCGUUAUGAAAUCAGGUUGCUUAAACAGUCUUGAAGGCUCUAUGAUCUUUGAUGCUCCAGAAUUAAACAAUCUGUGUGCUAAGAAAAAUGAAUGUCCUAAAGGUGUGAAUUUAAAUUUCAGGCAAGGGCAAACAGUGAAGGAUUCUGUUAUGACUUCACCCACAUCUAGCAGAAUGGCUGAACCAUUCAUGAAUUCUGAUAAUAAUUGUUUUAGUAUGAAAUUCUCUCUGAAUAGGGUUAGAGUAUAUUUUCAUGAUUCUUCUUGCAUUUUGGCAACACUUACAGUGCCUACAUCUAUAUCUUGCUUCAGAUUUUGUCAAAAUGAUUGUUGGGAUUUAGUAUCAUCUAUUGAGGGGUUAAUGCUUUCAUCAUCAUGGUCUUGUCCCAACAUCCAUGAGCUUCUAUGGGGACCAUCAUCACCAAGCAAUCUCUCUGUAGUGAAUCUUAGUCUAAGGAAAGGGAAAAUAAAGAUGAUGCUUCCCAUCACAGAAAUAAAUAUCAGCAUUCAGCAUGUUUGUUGCAUCAUUUCAUCUGAGUUUCUAGCAUUGUUGAUAGGUUAUUUUUCUUUGCCUGAUUGGAUACUUGAUGGAAAUGAACAUUUGAGCCAUGAAAUUCUUGAGUUUGAGAAUUCUCGGAAUGAACAAAAUGAUUUGUUAUACAAGUUUGAACUGGUUGACUCCACUGUGCUUUUACCUCUUGAGAACCGUGAGUAUUGUAUACAGGUUGGAUUUCCCCAACUAGUUUGUAGCUUCAUCCCAAUGAGUAGUUCAGCAGAUUCUUUUACGGAGAUUCCUUUUGAGUGCAUGAUAUCAGGAUGUAUGGAUUCUGAGAAAGUUGACAUUGUUAAUGUGUUUGGAAGAAGUGCAUCACUGUCUCUUUUGUUUAUCAGGAAUGACAAAAACUUCCUGUUGAAGCUUGAUGAAUGUAUGUCUAACACAAGUGUCCCUCUCAUUACACAACUGGAUGCUGAUUUAUGGAUCCGAAUACCUUCUACCACAACAGAUGUUUCCCCACAAUCUGUUGUGCCUUUAUUGAUUAUGAUGAGUGUCAGUGUUUGUAACUUAAUUGCUCGGGGUAUGUCUAUGCUUUAGAUGCUUCAUAUAUAGACCAUUGUUUACCAUAAUUAAUUCUCUUAUGUAUUUGCUUGUUCCUAUGUUGUUCAGAUGACCACCUUAUACAUGGACUUGAAGCUGUUAUUGAUGCUGUUGAUCAGUUUUCACUGGUUCUCAAAAGAUCUGAAAUGUACAAGUCUGAUAUCAUGCAGUUUUUGCAAUGCAAGAGAAACAUCAAGGAGGAAGAUGUUGUUUCACUUAACAUCUCAAGCCAAUUUUUUGUUAGUGUAAGAUGUUGCAUAAAGACUCUAUCACUAACAUUCUGUCGCUUCAGGGCAGAAGAUUCUUCAUCUGAGAUGGUUGCAAAUGCAGAAAUGCAAGUUAAUCUAUCUGCCAUAAUGAGAAAUGAGGUGCUACAAUCUCUUGAUGUGAAUAUUCCAUGUGUAGUUGUACGCUCUUCUAGUAGAAAUAUUCUGUUAAUAUCUUUCACACCUGAAGGUGCUAGUUCUUCCCAUCUUUGUUUCAAUUUCUCCAGUUGCAGUGCUGAAUCUGAACUUCUGGUCACUGUAGCUUCUCUUGAUCUUUGGUUACACUUGUCAGACUGGAACAAUAUUUUUGAACUUCUUCAGUUCUACAUAACACACUUGGUCAGUACUCCAAUUUCUUCCAGUGCAGAUCCGCAGUCCGGGUGUCAUUUUGUCUUAGAUCCUGCCACGCCCACUUGUUUUGCAUCUGAAUAUGUUGUGCAGGAAAAUAUUAGUUGGAAACUUAAAUCAGAGAAUAUAACAAUUUCAUUACAUAUACCUAGCUCAAGUGAUGGAGAGCUGAUAGAUUCUGAAAUGAUUGAAAUAGCUAACAAAAAUUCUCAGGAACAUACCUGCAAUAAUUUAGUGGAAAAUAUGCCACCCUUCAAGGUAAAGAAUUGCAAUUUUGUGAAGAUCACUGUCCAUAGUAAAAGUUGUGAGAUGAUCAUAUGUGAAGGUUGUGUGGAACUGAAAUGUAAUUUGGAAAAGAUGAGGGUUACACUAGAGAUGGUUCAAAAUUAUGAUAUCACUUCCAUUCCAUUUAUGCAUGUAUCUCAGGUGAAGGCAGGAGCUAGUCUAUGCAGAAAGCAAGGGGAGUUGGUUUAUAUAUCUUCUGAGAUUAUUAUCGAAUCUUUAGACAUUGGAGUUUCGUAUCAAGUUUUAUAUUUCUGGAGUUGCUAUAAGUUAAGGGUUCCUGAAACAGCAUCAUCCCCAAUAUUUCGCCAUUGUUUGGCUUUUAAAGUCCAUUUCAAGAAGGGCUCUCUUCUUUUGAGUGAUGGAAGGGUAUGCCAUUGAACUUCGGCUUUCUAUCUUAUUUGUUGCUUGGCCAUGUUUGUUUAAGUUUCUGAAUUCUGAUGUGACUGAAGAUAUGUAUAAUGUGUACCUUAAAUAUUUCUGAUAUGGUUUACAAUAACAAGAGACAACUUCUGGAUAUGACUGCAUAGCUUGAUGACUGCUAUGAACACUUAUCUUGGCCAUAAAUGCUGUCAUAAGUUGGAAUGUUUUGUGUUGUCUUUUUUCAUUUGGGAGUGAAUAUCUUGUUUGCCGAUAAAUUCUCUUUUAAAAAAUUUCAUCUUCUUUUGUUCUUCACUAUAUUCUUAGCUUUCAAAAAUUAAUGUAUAAGCAUGCAUGAAUUCAUGACAACAAUUUUUCUAGCCGCAAGCAUGUUUUCUGUAAUAAUCAUGUAGGCCACCACUUUUUUUCUUAUUUGAAACUUGUUUCUAAUGGUUGCCAUCUAUAGGGUGAGUUGGUUUCAGCACUGAUGUUGAGAAAGUAUUUUAGUAUGCUGCUGCAUAGUCAAGUAAAUUCAUUGCGUUUUUUUUUUUCAAAUUUAACAGAAAAACGUUACAUGUUUAUAUGGUCUUUCUUUAUCUGGAGGCUGAUGUAAGUUUUACCCAAAGAAUAUGGUUUCUUUCCUACAGAAAUAAUAAAUGAUGUGGCUUUCAUUUCAAUGAUGCAGGAAGUAGGAACUUGUUAAAAUCCUUUCAUUUUCUGAGCUUUUGAAUAAUGUUUAUUGAGUCUGUUUAAUUCAGUUAGAAUCGGAUAGAGGUUUAUUUAAUAUUUUAUUUAUUAUUAAGAGUCCAAGUCCUGGUAGACUCUAGGUAGAACUCUAUAAAUAGUGAUAUAAUCGUUUCUUUUCGGCAGACAAUGAAAUAUUAUUAAGUCUUUUGACUAACCCUAGGAGGUCGAUCCCCUCGAAGUGAUCAUCCCAUUUUCUCCCCUUUCUUCCAUGAUAAAACCCUAGGGUCUUAUCAGAACUUCCCACUCUUACAAUGAAUUCUUUCAUAACAGCCAAUCACCUAAAAAUAUUUGGUUUUAGGUGGACAUAUCAAUUUCCAGUCAUGUUUUUUAAUUUGUCACCAUUUAGGAAAUGUUAAGAAGCUUUGCAUAUUAUCUCAAUUGGUUCGUCAUAUAUAAUGGUAUUUUCUAGGUGAAAUGGCAAAUUUAGAAUCACAGAGAAUUGAAAAGAUGAAAUAGGCCAAGGUUUAUAAAGAAAGGAUGUCAUGUUGAAGAUCCUUGCCAACAAUCGUAUUAGACUUUUCCAACAAAGUUGCAUAAGGCUUAUUUUAUCCAGAUGUUUUUUCAAGAUCGAAUUGAAGUAGAGUUUCCAGUUCUUAAAGAAUAGGCAAUAUGAAAAAGGUCCUAGUAUGCCAGAUAAGGGUGUUCAACUUCCAAGUUAGCCAGAUAUUCUUUUUGCAGUAUACGGAACGAAAGAUUGUCAUCAGCAAAUUGUAAGAAAGGAACACCAGAAUAAUUGGGGAAGGUUCACAAUUCUCUUAUUAAGCCGGUCUCCUUAUCAAAAGUGGGAAACCUGAGUGCAGACCUCAAGAACAAAAAGAAGAGAGGAUAGUAUCUCCUUUUACCCAAGGUUGCUUUUAGGGCAAACUGUUUUCUGAUUAUUAGGAUACAAUGUUACAUUGAGGAUUUUAAGCAAGUUAAAAGCUCAAUCUCAAUCAUCUAAUUCAGUUAGGUCCAAAACCUUUAGUUUUGAUGAGAUACUGAAAUACCAACCUUUUAUAUUAAAAUUUUCUUAGAGUGUAGCAUCAUCACUAGGCUUUUGAAGUCAUACCUGGCACAAAAGUAAACAAUUUCAUGGGCCAUAAUGAAAUAAUCAGCUAGGCAUCUUCCUCUAUCAAAUGUCACUGCAAUAGACGAAAAAUAUCAGAGAGAAUUUUGAAAAGUUCAGAAUCACCGUCCUGGUAAAAACUUCAAAAGAUCAAUUUUCAGAAUUUUUGUCUUGAAUUUUAGCUCACUUGACCCCUUGAACUCUUGGAAUGAUAGAAUUCAAUGCAUAAUUAAGAGUUUAAGACUACUUUGUUCUUAGGAUUAGUAUUCGAAUUGCACAUUCUAUGUUAGCCUGACAAUGAAAUGUUACGUUUUAUCAACAUGGUAUUACGGCAUGGCCGCAUUCUGAUACAAUUUUGCCAUGAGGGCAAAAAAGGUAAAUGAUUCUGAUACAACAUUCUGAUACAACUUUGCUGUGAAGAAAGACUAGGAAAAUAAAUAUAUAACGUGUCAAGACCAAGUUCUAUGGGAUUUCUCUCCUUGUGUGUACAGGCUCCUAUUACAUGCAAAUGCGCAAACAAGUCUCAAACUAAACCUCUUUUCUUCUGUCCAGUAGUAAAACCUCAGCCUGAAUAACUAACUUAUUCUAAUAAAAUAUAGCAAGUGCUAACCUAUUUCAUGUGAUUAUACUCUGUCAAUUGGUUCAAUUUUUUGGACUUACUCAACCUUUUAUCUUAUAUAAAAAGGGAAUAUAAGCUAUUUAAUCUAUCCCUGUUUUUUUUAAUAUAGACCUAUGUAAAUGACAUGACCAUUUUUGCUUGCAUAUUCUCCUUUAGUCCUUUGAUGUCUUUUGAUGUACCUAAUUAUCAGCACUUGUGGUAUUUACUGGGAUCAACUGGUGGUAAGACCAAUGGCAAGGUUUUUAGUCUUGGAAUUGGUGCUUGUACUAGUCCCUUGGCAGAUUAUAUGGUACACAAUAUGCUGGUGUAUUAUAGUACCAUCUGGUACUGAUCAAAUAAAAUAAGAAAUAAGAAAACCAAAAGGGUGGAAAAUCUGGCAAUAAAUUAGGAAAAUUAGAGAAAGAAUUCCUGUAGCCUCGGCCUAUUUACCUAAGUAGCACCUAUCACUGAGCUGUAUCGUCUACCUUCACUGUCUCUUCCUCUCCUCACUUCUCCAUUUGUCUGUGAUCCUACCACAAUUUUGAGGUCCCUAAGUCCUGAGUUUUGACUUCUUUAAGCAUACAAGGGGUUCAUGAACCAGUUCAACUCUACUCAUUUAGCGCUAAAAUGGGACUAGUCUCCUGUAUGUCAGCCUGGUUCGAAUUAGUCAAUGUCCUAUUCCAUACUUGGACCAAUGCAAACCCAUGCAAACCAAGCUCCCAUGCAAACCAAGCUGGAUGCCAUGAGUUUCAAUUUUUGGACUGAGACCUGUAUUGGUCCUUGACAGGAUUGGUAUGGUCUGGUACAUAACAGCAUACUGGCACAUGGUCAGUGUACUGAUCAACAUGAACCAAAGAGAAAGAGGCAGAGAAGAGGGGGUGGAGGAGGAGGAGGAGAAUGAAGAGGAGGAAGGAGAGGAAAGCUGCUGUUGACAGGCUGAGCGGUUUAAGAAAGAAGAAAACUUAAAAAGGCCAGUUUCAAACUGGUCCAGGCGAAAUUGGCUGAGUUCUAGUUCCUGGUUGGACUGAUAAAUACGUGUUAAUUUGUGCCGGUCUGGCCAGUUUUUUGAACCUUCCGUUUACCUAUGGGUACCUCGCAGGUGUAUGGUCUAUUGAAGCAUUGUUGAUUGUGAGUAUCUGGUUGAUUGCCAAUCGCAUGUUUCCAAUGUGUGAACUGUGAACUAUUCCUUAUAUGUAACUUAAUUGGCCUUUAAUGAAGCAGGCAAUCCGGCACAGCACAUAUCAUUGGACUCUUGAACUUCUCAUGGUUGCUGGGAGGCUCGUAUGAACGAGAAUUUAGAUCCUAGUUCUCUCUCCUGCCAUUCAUAUCUAUUAUAUUAAAGUAUGAUGAUUUAAAUUGUAAUGGCUACAUUAGGAACUAUUAACACACAAGUUCUUCUCGCACGCACCUUGUCUAACACCCACAAACUUAACAAAUGUUAAGUGACAAUUCUUGCAUCAUUUUGGCAAUCAUUGAUGGGAUGGUGCUGGGAAAGGGAUGUGACCAUAUCAAUGGGCUUAUAUGCGUUUGGGAUGGGAAUUGACCAUAUCACAUGGGUAGGUGUUCAACUAUGUGAUUGAUCAAGUAGGUGCCAAAAGUAUGUUUCCACAUUAGAUUGUUUGCAUAUAUCAUACUAUGGAGUUGGUUGAUCAUUUUGACAUUAGUUCUAUGGUCAUUACUUUGUUGUUGUAAAAGCCUUGUCCAGUUCUUGCAGUAGAAAUCAAUUAAUAAUUAUGAACUUAAAUCUUGUUAGAACUAUGUUUGAUACGGCUUCAGUUUCUCAUAUAAGUUCAUGUAUCUUUGACGUAGUGGAGCUAUCAUGGACCUAUUCUGGAGACCUUAAUGAAGAACAUGCUUAUACAGUUCAAUCGAACAGAAGAUGUCACAGAGGGUUCAGCUGUUGCUGAUCUGUUGAUUAACUACAAUAACAUUGAUAAGGUAUAUUAAAGAGACUUGUUUUACCAUCUUAUGUUGUCUUCAUAAUAUUUUGGUAUACUUUAUGAGUAAAUUCUUUGUAGGUUAUGUGGGAACCUUUUCUAGAGCCAUGGAGUUUUGAGUUGAAUAUGACAAGAAAAUAUGAAGGGUAUAUCUUGAAUGGAUAUGCAGUUACUGAUGUAUAUUUGAAGUCGACAAAGCUACUUAAUUUUAAUAUUACAGAACCACUGGUUGAGGUACAAAUUUACUGUUCUAGUAAUUUAUCUUUUUGUUUCUACAUCAUUACUACAUGAGGCACCUAGGAUGUGCGAGGGAGUUAGCUAUUUGGCAAUAUUUUUAAAUUUUAGUGCAAUUCUUGCUGAAUUUGAGUUUUUGCAUGUAUUUUUUAUUUAUGUUCAGAACAAUGCAAAAUCUUCCUCAUUGCUUUGUGUCUUAGAGUGGAAGUUGUUCAUCAGUCGUGUCUUUCAUUACCUUCUGGCUGGAUACUUUGGCUAGGGAAUCACAGUUCAACUUCGUGUGCUGCAACAUUCAUAUUAUUGUUUCUUUUUUCCUCCUAAUCUUGAAGUUCUGUGCAGGCUAUCUUCAGGCUAAAUCAUGUGGUUAAUGAUGCUACUAAUCUUGCUGAUGCAUAUGGUUUCCAAGAAACUCAUGGAAUCUUGGGAUUACAGACUACUGAAGACAUACGUAAAAGAAGAUAUGCCCCAUACAUUCUCCAUAAUGACACAUCUUUGCCUCUGGCAUAUCAUGUGUACCAUGGCCCAGUUGACAUGGAUAAUAUCCACAGCUUUCCUACAGAUGAUGGAAAUAUUGUUCAACCAGGUUUUUCUGUUCCCAUUUAUGUCGAGGAAAAUCUUAAUGAACAAUAUUUUGAACGCAGAGCUUCAUAUUCUUCUGAAAGGCUUAUAGAGAAAAAGAUGAGUGCGAUAGCACAUCAUAUGAUGUCUAUCCACUUUGAAGGAACUUCUGGGCCUUCAAGACCUAUGUCAAUGGACCUUGUGGGCUGUAGUUAUUUUGAGGUAAAUUUUUCUAAAAGUAAGCAUUCUAUUCUUGUUGAAGCAGAAAAAGAUGGCAAGAUAUUAGGAUGUAGUUGGCAGACUGAGGAGCAGUGCAAAAACGAACAUUGCAAGGGAUUAGUUGUUCCUGUCGUAUUUGAGGUUUCUAUGCAGCAUUACAGCAAGAUUAUAAGACUAUACUCAACGGUAGUAACUGCAAUUUGUUUGAUAUUAUUUUAUUGUUUCAUGCAAGAAAUAAAUUUGCUUUCUGCUCCAGGUUAUAGUUUUCAAUGCAACUUCAGUGCCCUUGGAGCUACGUUUUGACAUUCCAUUUGGUGUGUCUUCUAAGGUAAUGAUUUCUUUAUGAGUUAUCAAGUCACUAGCAAAAUAUAUUGAUUAAUUGGGUCUGCUGCUCACAGUACAUCAAUGCUAUUGUUUUCAGGGUAAUUUGCAUGAUUUUGGUUAAUUUCUAAUUUUUUUUUUCUUGAAAUCACUUAAUUCCAUUCAGAAAUUUUGCAUUAUAGCUAUGUACUGGUCCAAUUUAAAAUUUUCAUCUUUUAAUUCUGAUGUUCCUGCUUUCAUUCUCAUUGGAAGUCAGUUUAGUAGGAAUUUGCUCCAACUUCAAACUAUACUUGUAAAUGGAAAAGUCUGGAUAUUUUUUCUAACUUUUCUCUGUUUUAGGUCUUAGGACCAAUACUUCCAGGGCAAGAGAUUCCAUUGCCACUGCACUUGGCUGAGUCUGGCCAAAUUAGGUGGCAUCCAGGUGGCACACAUUACUUGUGGAGUGAAGCACAUUCACUAUCAAAUAUACUAUCUCAAGAAAAUAGGCUUGGAUAUUUGAGAUCAUUCGUGUGCUAUCCCUCUCAUCCUAGUAGUGAUCCAUUCCGUUGUUGUAUAUCUAUUCAAGAUCAUGGUCUGUGUUCAGCAGGUGCUGCAGAAAAACAUUCAUCAAUUAAUAUUCAUGAGACUGAACAACUUAUCUUCAAAAGUAACAAGUCAAAGUUUCCAAAGAAACAUGUUAUACGCCAUGUGAGGCUGAGUACUCCUUUGUUGGUGAAAAAUUAUCUUCCUACAUGUUUAUCCUUCAUUGUAGAAACCGGUGGAGUCACACAUUCUGUUUCUCUUUCAGAGGUUUGGUUAUAAGCCGCUUUAAUUAAUUUUAUCUGGAUACUGUGCUGUUUUCUAUAGUUUUGAACAUAUUACUUUUAUUUUCUAUAAUUAUAUUCUUACAGUACUUUAGUUUCAGGUCGGUACUGCUUCUGUUUAUCAUGUUGAUUCUGCACAUGACCUAGUACUAACUUUUGAAAUGAAAGGAUUCAGGCAAGUGACAUCAAAGUUUCCUCGAGCAGAAUCAUUCUCUUCUAUGGGCAGGUUAAAUGGUUCCUUCUACUUUUCAUCUGAAAAAUUGGCGUUCUAUCCUGAAAACUCAAGUGGUAGUAUAUUGUUUAAAAUGUUUGCCUUAAUACUGUUGAUAGAUCACAUAUGUUUUAUAUAUAGGCUGACCUAAUUUUUAAUUAUGUUAGGUUCUGUAUGUGUCACACUUGAUAAAACAAUGGAUGCAUCUUGUGGGGCAAGAGAGAUAUGCCUGUCAGUUCCCUUUUUGCUUUACAAUUGUACCAGUCUGUUUCUCACCAUCUUAGAUGUCAACCAUGAGGGAAAGGGAAAUGCUGUUGUUAUUCCUUCAAGUUAUUAUGAGAUUGAGCAUAAACAGCUUCUUGAUGGAAAGGAUGGUCUUGCCCUUAUAUCUUCCGAGUCAAUAUCAUCUUCUGAUCCCUUUCUUUUAGAUAAUAAUUUGGAGGCCAGAAAACAGGACAAUGUGUCUACAAAAAUGGAUUGCGAUCAAUCUUCAGUGUCUUAUGAAGUUUCUCAUUAUAGUGAAAUAGGUCAUAAAGUUGGAAGCAGUCCAUCUUAUUUGCCAAGGAAAGCUGGAAAGGAUGCUGGCUAUAUGCAUGAUGGAGGCAGCAGAAAAGCUAAGCCAUAUAUCUAUGGUCCUACUGUCCGUAUUCCAGCUAAUGAACUUCUGGUUAAGCUGAGCGCUGCAUUGUCAAAAUCCAGAUCUAGCACCAGUCACAACCAAACGUGGUCAAAACCAUUUUCUCUUGUUCCAGAAAGUGGGUCAACAAAUAUCAUUGUCCCUCAGCCAUUUGCUUCUGGUGCAUUUUUAAUAUCUGCUGCAUCAGUCCCUGUUGCUGGAGAGCUGUCCGGGAGGACAAGGGCUAUUACUUUUCAGCCUAGGUAAUUUGCAAAGUAAAAUAGGACAUAAUAUAGGGUGCACAGUAAAAUGCUAUCCAAAUUUUACCUCUUUGUUUUAUGUCAUUUAUAUUUUAAGUUUAAUGUUGCUUCCAUAUUCUUAUUCUGGUUGCUAUCUAUAAAACAUUUGCUGUAGCAAGAUGGAAGAAGGCAAUGAGCCUUAGUUUCAUUAAAUGAAUGACAUAAAUUUAACAAAGGAUCAUCAGAUGGGAAUCAAAAGCAGCUAACUGGUUCUUAUUCUGCAUGUGCUUUGGAUUGGUAACUUCUUCACACAGACAUUAAAUCCAUUAUAAGCAGCAACCAUGUUGCAAGCGCUUACUAGUGGAGUUGAAAAGACAAAAAAAGGUUUGCUUUUUCUCUAUACUAGAUUUGUAUGUUUAGGAACAUAGUUAAUUCAUAUUUCUGUGAAUAGGUACUUUUUGAUGAUCAUGAAAAUGUAAACAAUCUCCUGCUAUCCUCUAAUAUAUUUUAUUGUGAUUAAAGGCCUUCUGUAGGUGAUAGACCAUUCCUUUCUUUACAAUUGUUAAAUUUUAUAUGUUUUUCCUUGUUAAGUACUUUUAAUCAACAUGCAAGUACUGGUAAAUUACCAUACAGCUUUUUACCAAUAUAUUGGUUAAGAAAAUGUGAAAGUGCAUUUCUCAACCUCAAUUUUCAAUUAUUUCAGUAAUAAUGUGUAGUUGGUAUACUGCUCGAUAGAUCAUAUCAGUUAUCAUAAGUCAAAAUCAGUACUGGACUGGUAUAUAAAACCUUGUUUCUGAUAGCUUAAUGCACCCUGGUUAAUCUCUCUUUUUUUUUCCUUGCAGAUAUGUCAUUUGUAAUGCGUGCACUAAAGACUUGUUUUACAGACAAAAGGGAACUAACAUUUCUUACCAUUUGGGUAUUGGGCAACAUUCUCAUCUUCACUGGUCCGAUACAUCAAGGUUUCUGCUAUUGUAUUACAAUAUAACUUACUGUCUUUAGUGUAAUCACCCCAUUUACUGGUAUCCCAGUCUCUUAUGCUCUGAUUUGCAUGUAGAAUACUUCUCGAAAGUGAAAUAUAGUUAGUUUGGUAGUGUAUAUUCACAAUCUAAGCAUCAAUUUAAUGUCAUUUUCAGUUGAUUCAUAGACAUUGUAUAUUUUCAGUGUUAUUUUAGAUUAAUAAAUUUUUCAAUGCAAAUACUCAAUCAAGAUGUUGUUAAAAGGUAAUAUUAGUAAUCAGAGUUUGUGAAAUACCUCUUAAAUGGACAUUCGUUCCACUUCUUAGCCAUACUAGGAGUUAUAUAUUAUUUGGUAAAUUAAUAGGAAUUUAAGUCAUGGUAUGGGGGGAAAAAGUGUCUGAUGUACUGCUCCAUUGACUUGUAGAAUCCAAGAUGGCAUAAAAUUGUUUCAUAAGCAUGUUGAUUCCAGCAUGUUAUAUUCAUUAUAGAUGCAAAACUUGUCUAUUGAUGCAGCAUAAACUUCUGGAUCCUUACCACCUCAAGUUCCUAUAUGUUAAUUGGAAGUAUGUUUAGUGAUGUUCUGUUGACCUCCACUCUCCAAUGACUAUUUGAUAUUAAUUCUUUAUAGACAAGUAACUGUAGGUCUCACCACUUGACAGAAGUUAAAAUUAUUGUUGGAAGUUGCAGCUCAUAUUAUAUUUACACUUGUCAUGUUGGCACUUAUAUUAGGUAAAGAUUACUGUUAAACUUUUAAAAUCGAAGGCAAUUUUGUCGAGAAAGCAUAAAAAGAUUAUUGUCUUUGACCAAUGUCAAAGAUCCUGCAUGCUAUGGCCUCUAACAUCUAUAUAUAGCUAUAAUUCUUAUAACUGUUGUGUGCUCCUGCGGACUGAAUUUAGUUUGUUAGCUCUUUUUUUGGCAUUUUAGAUAUGGCUAUUUAAACUGCUCAUGGUUUUAUAGUCUCAUUCCAAGAUCUUAAUGUGGUUCGAGUUCUUCAACAAAAAAUAAUAAUAAUAACUUUUUUGUUAAAGUAUUUGUUAAAAUGUUGCUUUCACUUUCUUUCUUUCAGCACCUCAUGUAAAAUAUCUUGUUGAAUACUAAUUCAUGAGCAUUAAGCUGCUGCAGAGAACUACUCAUUGCCCUUCGAUUUGGUGAACCUGGUUCUCAGUGGUCAGGCAGCUUCCUUCCAGAUUGCCUUGGGGAUGCUCAAGUGAAAAUGAGAAAUUAUAUAACUGGUGUAUCGAACAUGGUUCGAGUUGAAGUACAAAAUGCUGAUGUGUCAAUAAGCAAAGAAAAUGUGAUCAAAAACCCCAGUGGACAUUCUAUGACACAUCUAAUUCUUCUAUCCGAUGACAAAACUGGGUUUAUGCCAUAUAGGAUAGACAAUUUCUCGAUGGAGGUAAUUGCUUCCUGAAGCAAGUUUAUUAUGAUUUUACUGGCCUCAUGGUACAAACGAUGUGUUAUUUUUAUUCUUGCUAACAUUUCUACUCAAACCAUUUUCCAUUCUUAUAAUUUGUUCAACUAAGCUUGUUCAUAUUUGCUAUUCCUUAAGGUUAAAGUUAUCUUUGUGAUAAGUGUAAGAUUAAAAGGACAAAAUAAAUGAUUUUGUGUGUUAUAAAGAGAUUUAUGUAGUUAUUGUGCAUCGAGCUAGUAUAGCAUGUGAUUUUGAUGUAAUGUAAAGAUGAGGAAGAUAUUGUUUGUGGAAUUAAAACAAGAUGGUUAAAAUGAUGACUGUCAAGAAUAUUGCUUGAUUAUGGUAAAUGUCAAUAUUUCAAAUACUGGUUGGAGUUCACAGAUGGAGACCUGAUUGAAACCAUGAAUUAAUAUUUAUAUGUUCUUAAUCAAGGAAUGCAUUUUCAUAUCAGACCUGUACCAGUACAUGGUCGGACCAGUAUAUACUGUCAGUAUUGGUGUAGCAACACUUGGUACACUGUUAUGUACCGGUUUGUGAGAAAAGGCUGAAAAAUUAGAAGAGGAGGCAGCAGAGCAGGGAAGGAGGAGAAGAGGGCCUAGAAGAAGAGGAGAGGCAGUGAUGCAGAAGGAUAGGAGGGAAGGAGGAGGAGAGGCGGCUGCACAGAAGGAGAGGAGUGAAGUAGGUGAUGGAAAAAAAUGAGGGGAGAAGGCUGCAACAGAGGAGGAAAGGAGGCUGUGGAGGAGCAGAAGAAUACCAAGUACCAACGCUAGGGCUGGUGGCAGCGGCACACAUAGGCAGUGAUGGAAAGCGAGAAACGAGGGAUGCAGGUGAUGGCUGACACAGACAUGGGGGAAGGGGAGAAUGCAGGAGAGGAUAACUCAGGGUUUUACUUUCUAUUUUCAAAAUUUAUUAAAAAACGGGUUGGGCUACUGCCUGGCCCAGGCCCAUUACCGGGUGUGAACCCGAUAGUAAGCCUGGUUCACAAGGCUUACCAAGUGGUAAGCCUGUAUUGCACCUGAACCGCCUGAAAUUGGGCUGGUCCUCAUGCAGGUCAGCAAUCAGACUGCUAAAUACUUGUCAUACCAUACCGAACCAGGCGGAAUUGCAUUCCUUGCUCUUAAUAAUUAAUAUGACUAAGUAUAUUGCCCUAAUGGCAGCAAAAGAUCCAACCAAUCGAUCCCAAAUAGUUGGGAUAUUACAGCUUGUUGUAGAGUGAAAAUCUCUGUGGCUGGACUUUAUGGAGAGAAUUCAUAUUGCUGACAUUCUUGUAAUUUGGGUUAUGCAGAAAUAUGUUCAGAGUCCGACUGCUGUGUCUCUCUUUAUCAUCCCCGCCUGUUUUUUUAUUCCUUUUAUGCCCAUUGUUUUCAUAAUAAACUGCAUUGGAUAGGCUUCAUCUAUUCUUUGCUCUACAAAGAAAGUACCAAUAUCAGAUAGUAAAAAUGUGACCAGGAUAGAAAAUUGAUCUUGUACCAUUAGGACUUCUAAUUUAUACUGCUGUAUUCCAUAUAUUUUGAAGCUUGGUAGAUUAGCCUUUUUGCAGAGACUCCUUUUUCAUCAAAUUCAAGUGCUGCCAUCAAUGAUUAGAAAACUUUUUGUCAACCAUUGCUUGUCCUAUACAAUUGAAAUAAUUCCCUAACAUAGGAACAUCUCUUUUAUAGAAGUAAAUUUUAGCUUCAUAUCAUAUUUCUCCCUCUGCAAGCUUCCUUAUAUAAAAAAAACUUGAUUGAAGUGUAUUAGUUAAUGUUGCUUUUGUUAUUCAGACAUUGCGGAUUUACCAACAUAAAUGUGAAUCAUGUGACACCACAGUACAUCGUUACACAUCUUACCAGUAUGCAUGGGAUGAACCUUGUUACCUUCAUCGUCUCAUUGUAGAGGUAUGAGCAAUGUCUUCUCCUUUUGGGCCUUGAGCUUCCAGUUUCAUCGUUAUAUAUGUCAAUGUGUUUUUUGUUAGGUUCCUGGUGAGCGAAUUUUAGGAGCAUACAGUCUAGAUGAUAUAAAGGAGCAUGCACCUGUGUACUUGCCUUCAACAACUGAGGUACAUGAAUAUCAUUUUUUGUUGAGAAUCAGAAUUAUUAUCCAUCUCAUCAGUUAUGCAAUUGAUAGCUCUCAUGUAUAAAUAACUGUAUUGCUGUUGUUAUGAUGUUCCUUUUCUUGGAUUGUAGGAAGUUGUGAUGUAAGUUGUUGGAAGAAACAUCCAAGUCAUCAUCUCUUUUGGCAUAAAUUUCCUUUGUAAUCAUUGUGAUUUUCUUCUUUCUUAGCUAAGAAAAACUUAGUCAUAUGGUCUGUUGGUUAUAUUCUUUGCAGAAACCUGAAAGAAGGCUCUAUAUCUCGGUACAUUCUGAAGGAGCAGUCAAGGUAUCUCUUGUUCUUCCAAGUUCUAUAGUCUGAUAUAGAAUUUUUAUAAGGUGCAUUACUGAAUCGCUGAAUAUUCUUCAUUCUCAUGCUACAGGUGCUCAGUAUCGUCGACUCAAAUUAUCAUAUUGUAAAUGAAAAAGAGGGGAACAAUUUCCUUGGAUCCAGGGAUAAAAAGGUUGUUGAUCAGAAGAUGGACUGUCAUGCUGGUUUCACUGAAGUGUUCACAUUACAUGUUCCGUUUCUUGGGAUUUCCUUGAUGAAUCCCACUCCUCAGGUAAAUGAAGUAUUUCUAUUCUUAACCAUGAUACUGUAUCGAUAGUUUCGAGUAUCUUGUCAUCAAGAGCUUAUUGUUUAUUUGAAGGAAUUGGUUUUCGCAUGUGCAAAGGACACAACAGUUGUUUUGAUGCAAAGUAUGGAUCGUCAAAAGAUAUCAUUCAGAACCUUAUCCCUUCAAAUUGAUAAUCAGCUGCCUGAUACUCCGUAUCCCAUAGUGCUCUCAUUUGACCAAGGACACAGAGGCCGAUCCACAAACAUCUUGAAAAGUGGGGAGAAUAAGUUAAAUUUUCAGAAAGAGACGAAUUUUGAAAAUACAAUUGAACCUGUCUUUUACCUUGCUGCAUCCAAGUGGAGGAAUAUGGACAAAUCAUUGGUGUCGUUUGAAUAUAUAGACUUAGGGUACUUUUCAGUUCUUAAUUUUACAUUUUUUUAAUAUGUGCAUUGAGGAUCUCAUGUAUUUAUGCUAUCUCUUUGUAGUUUGGCCCCUAUGUGUAUUGAGCUUGAAGAACAAAUACUAUUGAGCUUGUUCGAGUAUUUUAGAGCAGUAUCAUCAAGACUAGAGAACAUAAGCGUAGGAAAAAAUUUUGGAUUGUGUAACCGGAACUGCAGUUCAGAUGGGAACCUGGAUAAUGCUCAGGAUUAUAAUGGGAAAAAUGUGUUAACAGAGAGUGAAUUUAUUGGAACCGAAGAAAGGUGUGGAUUAUUGCCUUCUGUAUUUCCAGUUGGAGCCCCAUGGCAACAGAUUUAUCUUUUGGCAAGAAGGAAGAAGAAAAUAUAUGUUGAAGCUUUUGAACUGGCUCCUAUAACAUUAUCCUUAAGGUGAAUAUGUGAAGUUGCUAUUUACUGUUUUUCUAAGAUUUUUUUUAUACUAGAUAAUGAUGAAUAACAUGAGAAAAAUGCUAUAUCUUUUAACACAUUCAAUUUUUUCAAGGAAGAAUCUUCUUGUUAUCUUUAACUAAAAGUUCAUUGUUCUAAUGAUUAGCUUCUCAAGCACUCCUUGGAUGAUAAGGAAUGAAGUCCAUGCAGAUAUCGAAUCUUUAGUUCACAUCCCUAGUAACACACUUCAGGUAGCUAUGCUAUCUUUGUUAUGAGAAUUGAGUACUCCUGUAGACAUUUUCUGUAAGACAGAUUUGACAACUUUAUGGUUUAACGUUUUUAUUGGUAAAUCUAGAUGUGUAUUACUAGAUAGUCUAGAGCAUAAUAUGUAAAUAAUCACCUAGAUAUAUAGAUGUUACCUCAUUCUUAGAGGGAUUGGUAAAUUUAUAAGUAUGGUUACAAUAAAAAACAAAUAUAUGAUCCGGUCCCUAUUUUAUUUUCUUAUUUCUUCAUGUAUGCUUUCUCUCUGAUAUCCAAGCAUCAAUUUGUGAAUGAGAAAAGUUUGUUUUUCAUGUAGCUUUGUGUUUACUGACUGCAACUUGAUAACCGUUUUAAGCAAGGUUUGAUUUACCAGUCCGAGCCGGUGUGCCGGCUGUGCCGUGUCGCUCUGUACUGGUGUACCGACACAUGGUAUGUCGGUGCGUACCAAAGUUUCGACAAGGACGAAUAAGAGGUUGAAGAGGAAGGUCCGGUGGAGGAACAAAUGAGGAAAAAGGAGAAAGGAAGAAGAAGAAGAAAGAAAAGGAGAAGUGUAGCGAUACCUGGGAAGCAGCGGCAGCAGCAAAGGGAAGCAGUAGCAUCACAGCGGCAAAGAGGUGGUGCUGCUGCAGCAUCGCAACGACAAAGCGGCGAAGAGGCGGCGCCGCUGCAAGAUCGUAGCGGCGAAGUGACGAAGAGGCAGCGCGGCUUCCGCAUUACAGUGGCAAAUCAGUGAAGAGGUAGCGUUGCUGCAGCGCCGAAGAGGCAGUGCCGCUGCUUCGUACGCGAGAAGAGCCCUAUUAUGCUUCUUUUUUUUUAACGCUGAAAUGGACUGGUGCCCACCACUUUUUUAUUUUUUUAAUUAUUUGAAUGCAGACUGCCUGAAACAGGGUGGUCCGCGUAUCAGUCCACACCUGGACCGGUAUAUACCGCCCAAACCGUACCAUUUUGGGCGGUACAGCAAUCCCUGGUUUUAAGUAUAUUUGUGCUUUUGACCGUUGAAGAUUUCCUUUUGUUUAUAUGCUUGUCCUUAAAAGUGGUGAUUAUUCAAUAGAUUUUUUUUCUCUUCUGACAACAUAGUUCAGCACUGAUAGUUUGUUAAAAGGUGACUCCAGUAAAUAAAAAGAGUACUGUUAAUUGAACCUUAGAAGUAUUCAUACUGAGUUUGUUAUCAAGGGGAAAUUUUUGUACUGAGGAUAGUAACAUUAUGCAAUGUUUUGCUUAGAUGAAAACUUGAAACAUGAAGUGUUGAAUAUGCUUGAACAUAUACAAAAUGGAGACAAUAUUUUCUUAGUUGCUAGCACACUGGCCAUGUCUGACUUUCAAAGACUUCCAAUGAGUACCUAAGUCAUGUUUGUACCAUGCUGGCAGAUUGUUCAGAGUUCGACAUGAAGGUUCAAAUUAUACGCCUCCUUGCUUCAUCCUUAUUUCUUUGAAGUGUAAAUAGGCAUAUAUCUUUUUAAUAUAUGACAAGGGUCCUAAACAAAUGUUGUGUGCUAACUAACAUGAUUGUUCCUAGUAUUUAAGAAUCUACAAUCAGAUCAAUCUUUGUGUUUCAGGUUAAUCAGAGAAGCUAGGUAAUUCAUAUAAUUGGAAAUCUAGGAAGUGCAAAAAAGUUCAUCAUUCUCUAAACAACCAGCUAAACUAAGCUAUAAGAGUUUAACGAGAUAUGUAAGAUUAGGGCAGUAGGCUGCAUGAGGUUCCCUCUGCUGCAAAGUAUGGGGAUGAUCAAAUGUGCACAACCUCUCUCCAUCACAUUGAGAGGCAAUUUUUGCAAUUCAAACCCAUAAUGGCAGGUCAAAUAAAGAGAUGCCACUUAUGUGCCAGGGCUUUUGAACUGAUUACCGUGGAGAUCAAAACUGUCAACUUAAGAAAUUUUUGUAUGCAGAUUUUAUUUGUUCUCCAAUUCACUUGUUAGUUGGAUAAGAUGCUGUUGAAGUGGUUAACGGGAUAUAUCUAGUAUCAGUGAAAUUAUCAUUCUUGCAUCUGUGAUUCUCUAAGCAAGACAGAAGAUUUAUGAAUCCUGCAAAAUCCUGAUUUGUUCAGGCUUUGACCAGUAAAUAUGAUUCUACCUGUCUUAUUGCUUGAAAAUAUUCGGACAAUUGUUGCUUUGUUUUCCAGAUACUUGAAUUCGUGUAUACCUGUGGUGCCUGUUUAUAUUCCUUUGUAUUUUUUCAUAGAUAACUUUCAGUACCUUAUAUUCAUUUGGUUGCAGAGAGGUUUGAUGGCUCUUGUAGAUGUUGAAGGAGUGCCUGUUCAUUUUACACGACUUACACUAGCACAUCUUAUAGCUAGCCCAGAAUCAAUCCAAGAGAUUAUAACUAGACAUUACAUGAGACAGCUACUUCAUGAAAUGUAUAAGGUGAGUUAUGUAUAAUCUUUUACAGUUUCAGUUUACUUUCAUUUUCCAGUCCUGCUGGAGUGAAUUAUAAGGGGUUGAAUGUCUUGUCUAGUAAACUGGUACAAAUCUUGCAGCCUGAUAGCUCCGGACUUAUUUUCUUUUGAAUCCUGAACAUUUUUGCAAUAUACUUUUGUAUCAGAGGUUUCAGUCUGUUUAUCCUUCAUAGUAAUUAUAUACUAGGAAUUAAAAUAACUGAUAUAUCCACUAUAUAUCAUUAUGUCUCUUGUUGACUGAUUGUCAGAACGGGUAAAGUUGGGUUGUUAUGCUAAAAAUAAUAUAGGGAAUAUCAGACUUAUCUUUUUUGUUUUCUUUUUUUUUGGUAUGAUCAUUAGCUUCAUAGCUUAUCUUUCAUCAAAGAAAAUAGGCAACCUGGCAAAGCUAUCUUCCAUCCACCUAGAUAGCUCAGCAUGCACUAAAAAGGUGACCCAUUUCUUAUAUUUUUGCCAAACAGUGUCUAACUUCUUCAAGAUUUAAAUCGGCAUAAUCAAUGUUAGAUCAGUAUCUGUUGAUUGUAACCAUCGUUCGGAUUGUUAUUAAUAUUAGUUGAACUAUGGAAUAAGUUAUGUUAAUCCUUAGGGUGUACAAUAACACAUUUUGGAAUAAACUUUGGAAUUUAUUGUGAACCUAACAUGCUAGUUGAGUUUUGGGAAGUUGUCUUUGCAGUUUAAGGUCUUGUAGUUGACUUAUCAAAGAGGAUAAUUAUAUCCAAAUAUGUUAUUUUUCAAUUGAUUAUUGAAGAAUGGUAUUAUCAUUUUCAAAAUUCACACCUUAACUAAAACCUUUUAAUUUUGUGGUCUUUCCUCAACUACAGGUGCUUGGUUCUGCUGGUGUUAUUGGAAAUCCAAUGGGUUUUGCAAGGAAUGUUGGGCUUGGUAUCAAGGAUUUUUUAUCUUUUUCUGGCAAGGGAGUCUUACAGGUGAGCAACAUUCACAGUGUUCAAGCUUGUUAGAUGGAUGAUUCAUCUCUGUUUCUGAAAAUAUAAUUGACAAUUGUGGCAGAGCCCCAGUGGAUUAUUAACCAGUGUAGCUGAAGGUUCAAGAGGUCUUCUAAGUAGUACAGUAUAUGCCAUAAGUAGCGCUACUAGUCAGUUCAGUAAAGCUGCUCAUAAGGUAAUUUCUGUUACAUGAAUUAAUCAUUUAUACUAUAUCAUCAGGUUGUUUCAGAUUUUGACAUUUGGUUUUUCAGGGAAUAGUUGCAUUUACAUUUGAUCAACAGGCUGCUGCUUAUCUGGAGGAACAGCAGAAUCACCUAGAUUCACAUGGCAAAGGUGUACUGAAUGAAUUCUUGGAGGUAUAAGUUCAUACAAUUACUUCUAACCAAAAGCGCACAAAAGGAUUCCAACUCAGUAUCUUAGGUUACUUGUCUAACAUUUGAGCAGUACCUAUAGACAUGAUAAUUGGUAAAGUAUCUAAUACUAAUCUGUGACCCUACAAAUCUGAAUUCAAUCCUGCUUGUUAAUGAAAUGCUAUUUUUUCUAUGGAUGAACUUCUCUUUUACAUAAAAGGUUUCUUAAAAAGUAAACCAAUUUCUUACCUAAGUGAUGCAUAGUAUGCAUACUCUGUUGCUCUUCAAAGUGAUCUUUUGCGAUAAGGAAAAAUGUGUAGGAAUAUUAUUGUAUUUAUUGCACUAGGAUGAUGAAAUAAAGAUUAGUACUCUCCCCUUGAGGAGAAAGAAAAUUGAAAUGAUGAGAAAACGAAGAAAAGCGAGACAAAAUUACCUCUUUUCUUACUGGUAGAUUUAUCCUUGAAGACUUUAUCAAAGUGAUCUUUUGCGAUAAGGAAAAAUGUGUAGGAAUAUUAUUGUAUUUAUUACACUAGGAUGAUGAAAUAAAGAUUAAAACUCUCCCCUUGGGGAGAAAGAAAAUUGAAACAAUGAGAAAAAGAAGAAACAAGAGACAAAAUUCCCUCUUUUCUUAUUGGUAGAUUUAUCCUUAAAGACUUUAUCAAUAUAAAAGAACUCUGUAUGGUGUUAAUUAAACAACAGUGUAAUGUUUAUUUCGUAUCAGCACAUUUGUUUCUAAUAAGAAGGAUGAUAAAAUGAAACUUAUUUCAACCAAUGUUUGUCUAUUUUCAUACAGGGGCUCACGGGACUUCUUCAAUUCCCAAUUAGAGGUGCUGAAAAGCAUGGCCUACCUGGGGUUGUGUCAGGUAACUUGAUCUUCAAAUAUUGAGUGUGUUUGUGUGGCUUUGUAAGCUCAUUUUUCAUUUACCAUCAUACAGGAAUUGCAUUGGGAACCGCCGGUCUUAUUGCAAGACCAGUGGCUAGCAUCCUUGAAGCCACUGGGAAAACAGCACAAAGUAUCAGAAACAGGAGUCGACCACACCAAUCCUGUCACUUCCGUACACGGUUAUCAAGGCCUUUAGCCAAAGAACUUCCUUUGUCACCAUACUCUUGGGAUGAAGCUAUUGGAGUGUCAUUGCUUCUUCAAGCAGAUAGCUCGAGACUGAAGGAUGAGAUAUUUGUGAUGUGCAAACCACUCACGCAGGCAGGGAGGUUUAUAACUAUCAGCAAGAGGCUGGUUUUGGUUGCAUCGUGCUCUUGCCUUCUGGGUUUGGGCUCACCGGAGUUUGUUGGUGUCCCUCCUGAUCCAGAUUGGGUUAUAGAAACUGAAAUGACUCUGGAGAGUGUCGUUCAUAUUGAUAGGACAGAAGAGACUGUGAAUAUUGUUGGAAGCUGUGCUGAAUCGAUAUACAAGCAGAAAAAGAGUAGUUCUAGGAAUAGACCAUGGAAUUCUUCGACUUCUGCACCUGUUUUUCACUUGAGUGUUGAACUUGCAAACAAGGAAGAAGCAGAAGAUACUUUACAGGUUCUGUUAUCGACAAUUGAAGAAGGGAAAUCCCAGAGGUGGGGGAUGCGCAUUCUACAACGGAACAAUCUCAAGUAAAAGCAUGUACGUUAUUUAAUGAUCUAGCGUCGCAAGAACCACUUCAAUAUACCUAUGUUACCAUAUGGACUGAUUACCUAUUCUCUAACUCUUGCAGGAGUCAUUGGAUCUGAGGGUUUGGGAGAUCCUGGUGGAGCCUAUCUUGGGAGUGUAUAUAUGCACAAAGAGUAAUUUGAGAGAACAUGGUAGUUUCUUUUAUACAGAUUAGACAAUCCAGCGGCCUUAUCUAUUGUACAUUGUGUAAAUCAUCACGGCAUUUUGUGCCCCCUUUUGCGGGUUUGGACUAAAAGGUAAAUAAGAUAAUUUGAAAUGGAAAGCUAAUAUGAUACCUUUGUUUUUCCAUGCCAUAUUUGCAUACUAGGAAAUUUCUAGGAAUUUGUUUUUUGUCAGAAUUAGGUAAGGUGCAGUGUCCAAAAUGAAUAAAUGCCAAUUGUUUUGACUGUGAAUAACUUUAUUCAGGGACAAAUAUAUACCAAUUAUUACACAGCUAAUGCUUCACAUUAGGAUGGUGAAUGGUACUUUGAUCUGAUGGCCACCUAUUUUAAGAUCAAACUUUCUGUUGAUACUGGUUUUUGUAAUUGUGGCAUUUAGUUUAUGUUGAUGCAAGUAGAGGACCAAAUGUUUCAGACAGUGACUUCUAAAUUUGUUUCAGAUACUUGUUGGUAUGUCAGAUGAUUGUCUGUUGACACUCCCCCAGAAAGAACCUGUGUUAUUGUUCGAAUAAAAUUUUAGGAUAAUUCAUUUGGCUAUUCAAUCCAACAUCAUGGCUCGAUGGAGCAACAAUGAUAUUUUAUUAGAUAUGCCAUCACAUCUCCUUGAAGUUAUCCCAACUAAUUUUGGAUUUUCAAAGUUCUUCUCCAUUGACUAGUGGAACUUCUCUUCUGGAAGCAUUUGACUUUAGACCCAUCUAGAUAAUUUAUUAUAUUGCACUUUAGCCUACUAGCAUGUGAUUCAAGAAAGCCAGCUCAUAGAUAAAUCUCAUUGAAAUUUCCAACAAAUCAACUAAAGUGAGAAGAGAAAAGUCUGGAGCUACUAAAUUCCCCUUUUGUCUACAUGUGGAUCAAAAGUCUCGGAUGCAAUGGCCACAAUCUUGGACUUGGUGUAUGGGUAGAUGUUGAAUGAUGAUUAUUAAUAUGUGAAAUCAUCAUUUAGUAUUCGCUUCAAUAUUUUAUUAUCUUGGAUGAGGUUGGCUUGUUCUAAUUUCUGGAUUCCAAUUAAACAUCUACCUACUUGAUGCAAAUUCUGCAAUUCAUUUGAUUGAUCGAACAUAAAGCAUUAAUGAUGAUGCAACUGGAAAGUUACGUAGAGCAACGGUAAGAUUGUUCCUUUACGAUACGCAAGAUGACUACCACUAGGUUUAUUCUCUUGGUAUUUCGUCGUCGAAUCGUAUUACUGCUAUGGUGGAUGUAACACCAGAUUUGUCGUCUUUGCUUCAGUCCAAAGUCCUGAAUGAUGUUGAGAAGCCAAUAAAAUUAUUGGAGUCAUGAAAGUGGCCGUAUGAAUGCAAACUGAUGAGAGCUUAUUCUGGUGGACUGUUGCAUUGGUCAAGUGGCUGAUGCAAAUGCUGUAUCAGCUGAGAAGACGACCAAUUCACUCAUCACCUCAGGCUGAGGCUUUUUCCAAUCCCAUGAGGUGUUGGCUGAUUUCUUCUGACUGCUAUUCUAACUUGUUAUCACAGGUUCAAUGUUCAUGUAGAAGCCCCAAAUCGCCCGGCACUUCUCCCUCACCGACCGCACCAUCUCUCUCUCUCUCUCUCUCUCUCUCUCUAUAUAUAUAUAUAUAUAUAUAUACGUAGCCUUCCCUUUCCCUGCACUCAGCCAUCUGCUUGCAGAGCUUUCCUUCCCUUCAUUAAGGUACUACGACUCACCACAACAUGGUCGCCGGCUGCUGCACCAACGAGGUGACGGUCAACGUCAGCGUCCACAGGAUGUGGAAGGCGGCCGCCUGCGAGGAUCACAUCCUGCUGCCAAAGAUCAUUCCUCAGUACUUCGCUGGCGCAGAGCUCGUCGGCGAUGGCGAAGCUGGCAGCACAAAGACCUUCCACUUCACUCCAGGUUUAGAUUUUGAUGCUGCUUUCCGACAUUCGUGUGCGUGCGAGAAGAGAUCGCAAAACAAGGAUAAAAAAUAAUCUCACAUCGAUAAAAAGAAUCGGAUGAUACAUAUCGAAACCUUUUUGGUUGAAUUGAUGUAUGAUCUGUUAAUUGGAACUAAUUUGGCUAUUGUUGCGAUCCAUCGAACUGCAGCCGCAGAGCCACUGACCUUCGUGAAGGACCAUGUUGAGGUGUUGGACCACGGAAGCCACACGAUGAGGUACAAGGCGAUCGAAGGAGGUCACCUCGGCCGCACGCUCAAGUCGCACGCGUUCGAGGUCAAGUUCGAAGCGGCGGGCGCCGACAGCUGUGUCGUGAAGACCAAGACAGAAUACGAUACGAUCGACGACGCGCCGCUGCCGGAGGACGAGGUGCAGAAGAUGACGGACGUGCCAGUACGGAUGAUGAAGUCGGUGGAAGCCUAUCUGAUAGCCAACCCCGGUGUUUGUGCCUGAGCCCCUGAGCCUCUGAGCCGGUGGGCUUUCGUGUACCGACGUUGGUGCUUCCAGUGUCGUAGUGCUUGUCAUUGGGCGUGGAUCAAUCAAUAAUGAGGUGAUGCAGCAGUGCUGGAAUCAUCACCUUUAGAGUGAGAGAGUGAGAGAGUGAGAGAGAGAUAGGACAUGACAUGUUGAUGCCAUCUCUCUCUUUGUCUGUUCUUUCCAUCUUCUGCAAUGUGGUGUUUUGUGUGGUCGUUGAAGGACAUAUAUCUACAAAUAAGAUGUGAUUUCUUUGGUAUCAUGUAAUCCUUCUUUUUUGGUAUCAUUCUUAGUAGUCUCUUUUAAAGAUUCAAAGACUAGCGUAAUCCAAAUUAAACAUGGAUUUAAUUGAUUUUACUUAAACUAUAUGAUACGUUUAUAAUGUUUGUUCGUAACGAGUCAACCUUCUCGUAAUUUUAUUUACUCUCAUCCAUAAAUAAAUCAGUUACCGAUAAAUGAAUGCAUGAACAAACAAAUCGAUGUCACCUUAGUAAAAUAUACCUUGGGAUUAUAUAACUAAAAUUGAACAAAAUACCUUCUUAGACGACUAAAAUGGAUGCAUUUUGCUGAAAGAUUUUACGAUAAAAAAUUGAAGGUUAAUUCGUCGUCCAUAAAGUUUAAGUACAUAAGUGAUAGGUUCAUCCAUCGUCCAUAAAGUUUAAGUACAUAAGUGAUAAAACUUCAUCCAAUCUUAUGUUUGUUCAAAAUUUAUAUAAUUAAAUUUGAACAAAAUAUCUUACUAAAAUGGAUGCAUUUUGCUUGCUCUGAAAAAAUUUUACGAUAAAAAAUUGAAGGCUAAUCCAUCGUCAAUAAAAUUUAAGUACAUAAGUGAUAACGUAUCUUAGAACUUUCAUCCAAUCUUGUGUCGGUUCAAAAUUAAAUGUUAACAUGACAUGAGAUUUGACGUAAUAGUGAUGUGACCUUAUCUACAAACUCGAUAGAAACAAAUUAAUUCUUCUAUUUUUUAAGAUAAAUACUGGUAAUACGGCAACAUCAAAAAUAUUAUAUCGUACAAUUUGGUUCUUCCUCUUAGUUUCAAACAUGAAGCUCCACAAAGACGGCAAUAAAAUAAAAUUAACGAAGAAAAAUGCAACACGACAUCAACUCAUCGUGAUCUCACUCACCCUAACAAAGAAUAUAAUAAUAAACUACACCGUUGAAUGAACUGUUAAUUCUUUCAUUAAAUGCAUGAAAUACAUUUAUGGUGAAACUUUGUUUCUAACAUACAUACAUACAUACAUACAUACAUACAUACAUAUUUUAAUCUGACUAGCAUAUGCUUGAAGAAUCCGAUCAUUCUCGACUACGGCUGAUGAUGAUAUGGGGCUGCUCAACAAUGAAGACCGCAAAGUCUGCAUGCUUGUGAGCUUUGAAGUCUUCGCUUCAGUCAACAAAUACUAGCUAGUUUGAAUGCUUCCAAGUUUACCAUGACACCCACUUCUUAGAACAUUGAAUUGGGAUGAGGAUGCCAACAAGAGAAGAUGAACCGAUUCAUUGGCAUGGAGCGAUCUUCGCGUCAUCUCAGACCCCCCCCUUUUUCCAAUCUAAUCGAUGAGGUUACCUAAAGUUCAAACUUCAUCUGGAAGCCCGAGAUGACCCGGCACUCCAUCGCCGUCUAUAAAUGGACUCUUCCCCUUCCCUUCACCACCAACCCAUCACAGCCUGCAGAGCUCUCAUCCGGCAAAACACCUUCAUCGACGCCAUGGUUGCCGGGUGCUGCACCGAAGAGCUGACGCUCAAUGUCAGCGUCCACAGAGUAUGGAAGGCGGCCGCCUGCGAGGAUCACAUCCUGCUGCCAAAGAUCAUGCCGCAGUACUUCUCCGGCGCCGAGCUCAUCGGGGAUGGUGAAGCUGGCAGCACCAAGAUCUUCCACUUCGAUCCAGGUUUGGAUUCACAUCACCAAUGCUUCUUUCAGGUAACAGGAAGAUCCGUAAACUAUGCUGAUUUCAACUGGCAAUUCUGUGGAUGAGACUGCAGGUAUGAAGCCACUGAUCUUCGUGAAGAACCAUGUCGAAGUGCUGGAUCAUGGGAGCCACACCUUGAAGUACAAGACCGUCGAGGGAGGCCACCUCGGCCACACGCUCAAGUCGCACACCAUCGAGCACAAGUACGACGCCUUGAGCGCCGACACCUGCUCUCUGAAGAUCAAGGUGGAGUAUGAUACCAUCGACGACAAGGGGCUCCCCGAGGAGGAGGUGAACAAGAUCAAGGAGGGGUCGGUAUGGGUCGCCAAGGCUGUGGAAGGUUACCUGACCACCAACCCCGCUGCUUAUGCCUAAGCCUCUGGAAACUAUCCGUAUUGUCUGUCAUGUGUGGCUUAAUAAUGGUGGCGAUGCAGCAAUACUACUCAUCGUCACCACGAGAGAGAGAGAGAGAGAGUGUGUCUGUGUGUGAGACAACGUGACAUUGUUGCUCUGUUUCUCUCUCUCUCUCUCCCAAUCUUUGUGCGUGUGAAGUGUAACGUACGUACGAGGCCAAUAAUAAGUUGUGCUUUCCUUGGUAUUAUCAUUUUAAUUAAUAUAUGUGUGAGAUAUUAUCUCCUCGAGAAGACUGCUGAACCCAUCAUUUGUAUUUAAUUAUUCGAAAAUUCUAAAUUAUAUAUGUAUUUAUCUUUUGGUAUUAUUUGUCUCCAAACUAAUUACUAAUUAUCAUAUAUUUCGAAUUAAAUGAAUCGGAUAAUUGAUUUGGAGCCCCGUCGAUACCGUCUGAUCUCGAUCGGACGUCGCACCGAGCACGCCGGAAUGACAAAACUACCCCUCCCAAAGCUUUGCUUCCGGGGUAUUUUCGUCAUAUCAACAUCUCAUGUCGCUAGGGUUUCCGCCGCCACGGUGGCCGUGCAAGCGCCGGCCUCGGUUCUGCCGCCUCACAAGAUCAGCUAUCCGGUCUCCCGCAGCGAACCUCGAAACUGGACCGUCCGGUGCGGCUCUUAGUGGUUCGCGGGUCCCACUGUCACUCCUUUGUUGACGCAUAAUAUAGAGCCACGUCGUUGGUUUGAGUCUUCCCUGCUUGCUGCGGCGCGGCGGUUUCCCAGCUGGCCCUCGGGUUCCUGCCCCGGGUAAUGCGGUAAAGUGCGCCCGCACGGGGAAUUAAAAUAAGCCGGUGUCGACCAGAAAAGUUGGCUUACAUGAACUAGUUGAAAGCUACCAUUAAAGUAAGUCUUCCAUGUUUGCCUCUUUCCCUCCACUCCCUCCUCUGUUCCUGAGAGUUCCACACCUCUCGCUAUUCCCACGCAUGUAUAUUAGCACAGUGUGGCUCUGAAGUUGCCUCAUCUGUGUCUUUCUGAAAGGGAUCAGAGGAGGAGAUGACGAUAGGCGAGAGGAAGGGAAACGGCGGUGCUCUUCCUCGUUAGCUUCGGAUCUCUGGUGGCUGCCGCUUCUGAUUGAUAAGAAGGUGGAUCGGCCCCUGGAUUUACCUGCAGUGGAGCAGCUUAAGUGUGAGAGAGUAUGGAAUUCCGGCCUGGUUUGACGGAUCCGAGUCACGGAGUAAGAGAAAUGGUAAGCCUGCUCAUGCUUCGUUUCUUGUACUGCUGAGUAGAGUUUGCUGCUGCUGAUUCAUGUGCUGAUUCGCAUUGGCUUCUUGUUUCUGGCUUCGAUUCGAUCUGCAGUCUUCGGGAUCUUCAGAUCCGAGCAGUAGCACCAGCAGUGGUGAUUCCCAGAUUAAGCGCUGCGCAGAUUGUCGAACCACCACGACCCCUCUCUGGCGAGCCGGUCCUUGUGGUCCCAAGGUAUGCGGGUGCGACUGCCGGUCUGAUCGAUGCUUUCUUUUGGGCAUGUUUUCUUUCUUGAUCUGAUUGGUGGACUCGUGAUCUGCGGCUGCAGUCGCUCUGCAACGCGUGCGGGAUCCGGUACCGGAAGAGCAGACGAGCGGUGCCGGUGUCGAAGGAAGCAGGGACGGGAAUGAGGAAGACGAAGAGAGAGAUUGACGGCGGCAGUGGCGGGGAGAGGUUUGAGGUGUCCUUUAAGCUUCGGAUGUUGGGGCCGGGAUUGUGCAAGCCGAGAUCCAUGGUUCAGAAGCAGAGGAGGAGAAGCAUGCUUGGGGAAGUGGAGGAGGCCGCAGUCCUCUUGAUGGCCCUCUCGUCCGGCUUCCUACAUGCCUAGGUUUAAGUCGAACAAGACAAAACGACCUCCUUUUUUGGUGGAUGCAAUGUAGUGUUGUUGGCUCUAAUUAUCACUCUUGUGCUACUACUGUAUGAUGCUGCCAAGCGGUAUAGUGAAGCAUGUGGUUACCAUCUUAGUUAUAGUAAAACCUGGACUCCAAAACAGCGAUGAUAUCACCAAUUACUUUUGUGGUCGAGUUGGUGAAGCUUUGCUGCGUUGGAGCUCCUCGAAUAAUAAUAGUUUGUAGGUUCUAUCUAAAUAGUUUGCCGACUGAGAAGCUAAAACGUUUGUGCAUUUGGGGACCUUUGUGGUGAUUGGUUUGAGACAGCAUUAGCUUUUGGUAAUGGUUGUUGCUCGGUGAAGAAGCAUUAGUUUGAUUGUUGAAGGCUCAUAAUGAUUGGAAAUGUGUAAAGCUGCCAAUGCUGCUUGCGGAAUGAACCUUUUUGAGGCAACCGUGGGUUUGAGCUUGUGAAAGGUGCCAAAAGUUGGGAGGAUGUGUUGUUGUCUUGGACGAUUCCCUUCUUUUGGUUGGUCGGUGAUCAGCUGGUACUUGGGUUCUCUCGGUUAUAUCAGGUAAGAGUGUGCUCAAUCAUAUAUAUUUCUAUUCGAAAAUAGUUUAAUGGAUUGCUUAUUUCCACAAUAUCUAACCAAAUGCGAGAAUGAUUGAUGUUGAUUGCUAUUUGAAAGAAGUCAAUAGCUUGCUUAUUUCCACACUAUCUUAUUGAUUGAUAUUUCCAUAGCAAGAUGAUUGACCCUUUUUCUUUUUCUCUCUGUUUCAUUUAUUAUAAUUCUUCGACUGCAACAAUCACAACUGUUUCUUUCAUUCUUUAAUGUAUCAGUGCUUUAGGAUUCGUGUCUCUGUUAGAUCUGUUCCGAAAGAAAGACAAGUUUAAUCUAAUAAAUAAAAAAAAAGAAAAGGUCAGUCUGAUCAACGGUCGUGGAGAAGCGGAUGAAGGGCUGCAGUUUAACCCGUUACUCCAUCCGGAUCCGACCACCCUUCGAGUGAUGGCAGCCUUCCGUUCCAUCUCCGUCGUUUCCUACACGGCCGUUGGAAGAGCUCAUCGGGUUGCUUCUCCUUCCGCCGCAGGAUCUCCGGCCAUUUCGAGUUCACGGCAGCAAGCAAGCGAUCUGUAGUUCGCGCCGCUUUCGGGAGCGGAACUGGGAUUGCUGUUUUAGUCCCACAUCGCAAGGGGAGCGGGAGGGGAAAGUGGGGGGCUUGUAUAUGAGGGAGUGGGGAUCAACCGAUGAUCCAUACUUACCUGGACGGGGUCUAUGGGCGAUCAUGAAGGCUCAUGGCCUAGAUCAGUGACCUCCAUUGCACCGGGGAGGGGUGCUGGUCUACCAUCUCCCCAAGCGGGAGAGUGGACGUCAUAAUUUGUGGUAGAGGGGGAACGCGUUCGCGCGGCCCCCGCCAAUACUAUUCAAGUGUUCCGAUGCAACUCCAUAGAGUUUUCUGAGACUCUUAAUAAAAGCUGCAAUAUCUGCACUGUAUCACUCGUCGGCGAACUAUCCUUCGCAGAACAGACGUGUUUGCUGGGAUCAAUGCAGCCUUUGGUGCUCUUGGAAAUCAGAUCCCUCCCCUGUUGUGCCCUUGAAUGGGUUAGUGGUAAGAGAGAGCUCUUCCACCGGCCGUGUGGGAGACGACGGAGAUGGAAGGGGGAGGUUGCCGUCACUCGAAGUGUGGUCGGAUUCGGAUGGAGUAACGGGUUAAAACGCAGCCUUUCAUCCGCUUCUCCACGAUCGUUGAUAAGACCAACUUUUCCUUUCGGAACCAAUCUAAAGCAGACACGAAUCCUAAAGCACUGAUACUAAGAGUUGAACCCCUUUGUCGCUUUCCAUACCACCCCCAAACUCUCCGUCACCGUCCCGCUCCCCACUCACCGUCUCCGCCCGCGGCCUCUCCCGGAAUCGGAUCGCGCUGCCCCAUCUUCGGCCUCCGCCUCUUCUUCCGUCCAAGGUGAAACGCUCUCCUUCUCCCGUCAUCGGUUUGCUUGCCUUGCCCACGUCCCUCUAUUCGGAUGCUGUUGCGCUGCGGUUUCUGCGUCAUCAUGGGUUACGAAGCCGAGAUCUUGUAGCCGUUUGGCAUGUUGUUUGGAAUUAGACGUAGAAUAAUGAUCUGUUUGCCUCGAUUUCAUCAUCGAUCAACCGUCUGCUUGAUUUCUGCUUUCAGCACCAAAUCCAGCCAAUCAAAGCUUUUCAUCUUUAAUAUUUCAAGAUUUUGAUGCACAAAUGGCAAGGGAUUGUUAGGCAUUUUCAAUGGCUGGAAUUUUUGGUUCCUUCGUUGUACUGAAACUAUGGGCUAUUAGAGAUGAAUAUUGUUGUUUCUUUUGGAGAAAGAAACUAACUUUAGAGAUCAAUCAUCAUUUUUAGGCUUUAUUGAAUUCAGAAACUUUACGAGAAUUGCCAUCAGAUCACGCGCUUGGUUUCAAGACAUUUUACGUUAGUGUUCCAUCUAGGGGUUUGAAUCCAUCAUGCAUAUAUUGAUUGCUGUGUUUGCUCCAAAACCUUGAUUAGUAUAUUUGAAGAGUGGAAAGGUCACCUGGCAUUCAGGUACUUGACCCACACUAUCCACCACUAUUCUUGAUUACGAUGUAUCAAUUGCAAUAUAAUUUUCAUAGCAGUUCUUUUUCCUCUAAACAUUUCAGGAUAUCUUGUUAAAUAAGGUUGAAUUUCUUUUAACCAAAACUGGACUUUUGAAAAGUAUAAUUUAAUGCCCUUGAACCUUAUGAUUUCCUUUGAAUCUUGAAGGUGUCGAGAUUUAUUUUUGAGAUUUGUCAUCGUUCAGAAUAAAUCUGCUGCAUUUUGUGAAUACAUUCAUAACCUCAUAUCUACUAUGCAUGUGUUGUAGGCAUUUCCAUUUUGCAACAUGAUAACUAGUAUGAAUUCAAAUGGAAAAGUAGUAACUAACAAAAGAAAGGUUCUUGAUAACUUAAUACUUCUCUUAAGGACUAACCGUAGCAAAUAGUUGUCUUAAGGUGUUUCUUGAUUGUGGUUCUUUUCUUUCUCGAACACUCGUGACCAUGGCAUGACUUAUUGUUCCUUCGCCCAUCCUUUGUUGGCAUUAUAUAUAUCGCUCUUUAGAGAGAAAUGUGGUCAACACAUGUAAGCAAAACUCUGUCUAAAUCAUUUGUUUUCUUUUGAUCGUAAAGAAUGAAAAAGAGAAAGUCAUGGUCAUUCAUAUCCCAAAGCAUACAGAUUCAUUUGAUUUUCUUUCGACUUUCUGUCUCUUUUUCUCGGUCUGCGGCAGGCAGUCACAACAGUCACCAGCAUCCUCUUCUUCGUUAGAAUUGCCAAGAGGGGCCACCAUAAUCGAAUGGCUAUCAUCGCCAACCAUCUUCAUUAUUAAAAGUCUGAUAUCUUGGGCAUUAAGUUUGUUGCAAUUGGAAGAAGACGUAUACGAUGAGUAUGACAUUACAUUUUUUGCCUUCCAUGAAUGAUCAAUCACUGGAGUAAAUAAAUUGGUUACUGCCACUGAAAUCUCACCCCCUGUUAUCUUGAUAAUUGUGUAGAAAAUUGAGGUUCCCGCAUGAACAAUGUGAGAGUAGAUGUACCAUGGCAAACGCCGAAUGAUUCCAGCUUUAUGUAUGUGCACCUGAUGUAACCUGUGAUGCAUUUUCAGGAACAAUGGCCAGCAAAUCUAGCAGUGAUAGUCGGGAGCCAGUGAAUGAGCAAAUUAUUUUAAACACAUAUGCAAACAUGCGGUCAGAAAUUAACCAGAUCUACUCAAAGAUCACUGAGCUAGAAAUGGAAGUCAGUGAGCACUCCCUUGUAAUAGGUGCCAUACAACCACUUGAUCCAUCACGCCGCUGCUACCGGACGGUUGGUGGUGUGCUGGUCGAGAGGACAAUCAAGGAAGUCGUGCCUGCUGUGCAGCGCAACAAGGAAGGUCUCGAGGAGGUCAUUGCUCGCCUCAACGAGGCACUGGAGAGUAAGAAGAAGGAGAUUUCAGAAUUUGAAUUGAAGUAUAAGAUCAAGAUAAAGAAAGCUGACAGCGAGACCAAGGAGGAUCCCAACCUAAAAGAAGGUUCUGCGCAGGGGGUUCUUGUAGGCCCUGCAAGCUAAUGGAAAGUGCUAGGAAAUCAAGUAUGGAUGUCUUUUUCAUGGCAUGAUAAAUCUGGUUUGUAUUUUCUAGACAGAAGACAUUUUCCUGUGAAGUUUCUGUUGCAUACGAGUCCUGAUGAAUUGUCUGAUGAAAGUAUUGUAGUAAUUCAUGACUUGUGUUUGCUUCUGUGGAAGUAAACCGAUUAAUCUAUGCAUGAAUCUGUUUAAUCUAAGAAGUGCAAGGUGUAUCCAAUAGUAAAUGACAAUUAGAUCAAAGGCUCCUAACUCUCUGAUGCCAGCCAAGGGGGAAGCCUGUAGCUGUUCCUGUGUGUGGUGCACUCAAGCAUUUAUGUAUCCCUGACAGCCAAUCAGUCUGUCUCUGAACCCAAACGUUCCACAUUAUUAUCGACAAGUUGUCCCACAUGCUGGAAUCAGAAGCUUUGACUCCCAAGAAACGAAGCUGUCAACAUGUAUCGCGCAAUCCCGCAGCUUCUUUGGACCAAACAGUUAUAAGGCAGAGUCAGGGGAUCACUUUUCAUGUGCUUUUAGCCACAAAGGAGAUAAAGAGUCAAAGAUGUCAUAGCCAUCGAGUAUCAUGUGCCAGAGAAAUAAGUGCAGUUCUUCAAGUCCCAGCUGAUCGUAAUUGAAGGCCAAUAUGCCAUUUGCAGGCAAUAUGCAUCAAGUGCCCUUUUACUCCAACCAAAUGAUCAAAUAUGUGAUGCUAUUUUCAAGUACAAUUUCAUUUGUUGUGAUUAAAAAUAUGUGAUGGUGUUGAAUAUAUGAAGCAGCUCAUGAGAACAAUGCUCCCUACUCAUGCCUUUGGAGCCAUGAGAUGUGAAGAACUAAAUGGUGUUUUUUGCUUGGCAGGUAGGGAUAUUAAUUGAGAGAGAGAGAGAGAGAGAGAGAGAGAUCCCACUUCUUGACUGCAAGCUAAAUGUUCUUAGAAUUUUGAUUUGUUCUAUAUGACUUUAAAAGGAGUUCCUCUUUACAUGCAUCUCUUUUGGACAAAAUGCUGCAGAACAAGUAUGAUUAUAUCAUCAAUGCAGAGAACUCACUGCUUGACUUGCAAGAGAAAACUGAUGAUGAUGACAAUGAUGGUGAUGUUGAUAUCCAAACUUCCUAUCAUUUACCUAAUUAAUUCUCACAAUCAAUGCAUUAAAUUCCACUUUUAUGCACAAUUUGCACACUCUGCUUAACACUAUUCACUUUUUUUUUCCUUUUAUUUUUUUAUGACAUUUAUUUGAGGAUAAUUUCUUGAAAUGUUUUGGUUCAAACUCUUGCCCUGAGUUGAAAAAAACCUUAAAUACAUAUCACCAGUCUAUUUGAUUGGGUGUUUUAUUGCUUUAAAUUAAUCUUUGUCCAAACUACAUUUACACCAACUUGAUUUCCAAAUUUGAAGUCAACUCUAAGCUUUGCUGUAUAAUGACUUCAUUUGAUAUCACUUAACCAUCUUAAUAACAUUUGUUUAAGAUCAUAAUGUGCACUUAUUGGGAUACAUUUUAUAAUGUGUGAGUCAACGGAAACUUCUCAUAAAUUUGGUCAAAAUAAGGAUUAGAUUCCAUGUGAGCUUACAUUGAGGUGUUUCUUUGACCAGCCAUGCUAACUAGCAUGGCUUUGGAGGAGAGGUUGACACGUAGCCUAUC
rnacentral:lncRNA from 1 species